CAUAGUAAAUGGAGCAGGGGAGAUAGCCGAUGCAGAUUUUGGAUACGUCGGUGGUGCUCCUGGAAAGAUUGAUCUUUAUGUUGGAAAGACGGUGGUACAAAGAGGAAUUGCAAUGGAGAAUGCAACGGAUGCAUUGACUCAACUGAUCAAAAGAUAACGGAUGUUGGGUGGAUCCUCCCGCGGAGGAGUAAGAGGUUGAUUCAAGAACAUUUAAGGUUAUUGUAUUAAAUAAAAUAGUGAUGAUACUGGAAAGUGUUGUUAUAUUGUUAUGACAUACUGUAGGUGUAACUAUAUUAAUGUUUUAUCAUUUAGAAA